CUGGAAAAUUUGUCAAUUCCAUCGUUGCUAAAUUCACCCCGGAACAGAGUGGACAAAUUAAGUCACUGUAGCCGCAAUUUCUGAUCGUGGAAUACGUAUACAUUUUUCGGAAAACUGGUUUAAUUAAUCAAUUAAAAUUUACAAAAGAAGUUUGUUAAUUACUGUUGUGUCUUAGGUUUUACUAGUUUUAAUAGCUCAAAUUCGCUUCUACAAUAUGUGUUACUUCUCCGCUCUCGCUCGCCGAGGCUUACCGGAAGUGACGUAACACUACAUCACCCCCUUUUUCUAACAGAACAAAGGAAUGUCAAAUGUUUCAAACUGUCAAUGCAAAUGUCCAAAUAAAUUUCUCUAUGAAGUUAUUGUUUGAGUGUUUUUUUGUUUUUUUUACAGUCUCAACCCCGAGUUUAUUGGGUGUCCAUAAAAGUUUGUCUGCCGUGUGUUUCGUGUAGAUCUUCUAGGCUCUUGUUGUUCUUGUUGGUAUUGUUCCUGUACUUGGUCUCCUUCUUCUUCUCUUCUGCUAACAACAUCCUCAUCAUCCUCUUCUCGACUAACCGCUUGUUCCGCUAUCUUCUUGAAGAACGAUACAUUUCGCGUGAUGGAAUGUUGUUGGUUUUUCGCGACUACUUUUGACCCUUUUAUGGCAACGAUAGUAUAUGGCGUAGGACUGAAAUUGGUUGAAAAUU